rnacentral:rRNA from 1 species
CGGGUGCACUGAUCCAGCCGGGCCUUUCCCUCUGUGGAACCCCAUGGCCUUCACUGGCUGUGGUGGGGAAACAGGACUUUUACUUUGAAAAAAUUAGAGUGCUCCAGGCAGGCCUAUGCUCGAAUACAUUAGCAUGGAAUAAUAGAAUAGGACGUGUGGUUCUAUUUUGUUGGUUUCUAGGACCGCCGUAAUGAUUAAUAGGGACAGUCGGGGGCAUCAGUAUUCAAUUGUCAGAGGUGAAAUUCUUGGAUCUAUUGAAGACUAACUACUGCGAAAGCAUUUGCCAAGGAUGUUUUCAUUGAUAAGGAACGAAAGUUAGGGGAUCGAAGACGAUCAGAUACCGUCGUAGUCUUAACUAUAAACUAUGCCGACUAGGGAUCGGACGAUGUUAUUCUUUGACGCGUUCGGCACCUUUCGAGAAAUCAAAGUGCUUGGGCUCCAGGGGGAGUAUGGUCGCAAGGCUGAAACUUAAAGAAAUUGACGGAAGGGCGCCACCAGGGGUGGAACCUGCGGCUUAAUUUGACUCAACACGGGGAAACUCACCAGGUCCAGACACAGUGAGGAUUGACAGAUUGAGAGCUCUUUCUUGAUUCUGUGGGUGGUGGUGCAUGGCCGUUCUUAGUUGGUGGAGUGAUUUGUCUGCUUAAUUGCGAUAACGAACGAGACCUUAACCUGCUAAAUAGCCCGUACUGCUUUGGCAGUUCGCCGGCUUCUUAGAGGGACUAUCGG